CCGCCGUUAGCUUAAUGGACAGAGCACUGGUUCAUUCGGCCAGAGGACGGGGUUAAAAUCCCUGACGGCGGUCCA
rnacentral:tRNA from 1 species